rnacentral:lncRNA from 1 species
CAGUGAUCCUGAACACCUAGGAGGAAUUUAUGAGAAAAACGACUAUCCACACCCAGAGGAAACAGUGUGGGAGUAAAAAUACCAAAGAAAAACAACUGCUUGAAUAAAUGGGUCAUAGGGAUAUGGUUGGGGAUGUAGACUCUAAAUGAACAUCCUAGUGUAAACAACAUGAAAAAUGGAUUCUGAUCAAGGACACAUGUAAUACCCAAUGAAAGUGUGUGUUGGUUGUGGGAAGAGUGGGAGGAGGGGAGAGAGAGAAAUAAUGUCAUUAUUAUAACCAAGGAAUAAUGUUCUAAAUUGACUAAACUCCUUCAAAUGAAAAAAUAAGGAAACUGAGUCUGCAAGAGUUUAAUAAGGAAGAGAAGCAGAGGCAUAGGUGAGAGAAUAGCAAUAAACCAGGGAUGAGGGGAGCCCUGGUGACAAAGAGGACACUGGAUUCUCUCUGUGGUCAAGGAGAUGGCAGUGAGAGGGGUAAAUUCACUCAGUUACCCAACUUCCUCUUAGGAGAGUACAGUGUCAAGGGUGACAAGCCUCACCUGGCUGAGAGUGAGGUUUGUUUGGGCCCCAUUGUCAUAGCAACAAGGGAAUGUUUGGUAACAGAGCCAGUGACUUCACAGAAGCUGGUCUUAAUUCCACAUUUCUGAAGCUCAGGGAAGAGCAGAGCCAGCGAGGAGAGAAUGUGGAAGCAGAGGAAGACAAUAGUUCCCUUGGAAGAGCUGUGACUACGAGAAAAGUACUGUCCUGGUUUGGAUCGUCAGUCCGUUUAGCCAAGGAGAGAUUUUCCCAGUCACCAUCCAUCAAGAAAUCCCAUAGUAUGGAAUUAACUUUAGAAUGUUAUAUUUUGGUGAAAUUGGUGGAAUUCACAUACCUCCCGUCUCUGGGCCUGGCUCUCAAUCCACUGAGACACCCACUUGCAGACAUUUUUCAUCAUCUUUCUUACUUAAGAGUUGAUAUUAUAGUCAUUGGUAUCUGCCAUAAACCAAUUUUUUUAGGAAAAUUCUUUUCAAUCUUUCAUUUCAUCAAAAGGCAAAGCUGAAAUAAGGGAACUUAUGCAAUGAGCAUCAUGUACCCAAGAAGUUAAAAGGCCAUGUUCAAUCUAAAAAGCAUCACUUGAAUGAAAUUACUAGAUGAAAUUCAACAUUGUUAGGAAAUCAUGUUUCUUUUAAUUUAGGCCCUUGUUUGUUUUAACUUCUUCCAAACACUCCCCAAUAUUAAUUAGUAAUUAAGGAGUUAGUUUAGAAGAUUUAUAAAACGUUGUUAGGGUUUUAGUCUCUGAUUUUCGAAUAAAGUUAGUUAUUCCCUGGUCCCA